UACGUAGGGUGCGAGCGUUGUCCGGAAUUACUGGGCGUAAAGAGCUUGUAGGUGGUUUGUCGCGUUGUUCGUGAAAUCUCACGGCUUAACUGUGAGCGUGCGGGCGAUACGGGCAGACUAGAGUACUGCAGGGGAGACUGGAAUUCUCGGUGUAGCGGUGAAAUGCGUAGAUAUCGAGAGGAACACCUGCGGCGAAGGCGGGUUGCUGGGCUGACACUGACGCUGAUUGUGCGAAAGCUAGGGGAGCGAACGGG
rnacentral:rRNA from 1 species